AGCGGCGGCGGCGGCGGUGGUAUCGGCGGCAGCUGUGAGGGGGUUCCGGGAAGAUGGUGCUGAUCAAGGAAUUCCGUGUGGUUUUGCCAUGUUCUGUUCAGGAGUAUCAGGUUGGGCAGCUUUACUCUGUUGCAGAAGCUAGUAAGAAUGAGACUGGUGGUGGAGAAGGAAUUGAAGUCUUAAAGAAUGAACCUUAUGAGAAGGAUGGAGAAAAGGGACAGUAUACGCACAAAAUUUAUCACCUAAAGAGGUGUGGUGGCUCACAUCUGUAAUCUCAGCACUUUGGGAGACAGAGGCAGGAGGAUUGCUUAAGCCUAGGAGUUCGACACCAGCCUGGGCAACACAAGGAGACCCCAUCUCUAGUACAACAACAACAACAGCAAAAAAAUUGGCCAGGCGCGGUGGCUCACGCUUGUAAUCCCAGCACUUUGGGAGGCUGAGGCGGGCAGAUUACGAGGUCAAGAGAUCGAGACCACCCUGGUCAGCAUGGUGAAACCCUGUCUCUACUAAAAAUACAAAAAUUAGCCUGGGUGUGGUGGCGCACGCCUAUAGUCCCAGCUACUUGGGAGGCUGAGGCAGCAGGAUCUUUUGAACCGAGGAGGUGGAGGUUGCAGUGAGCCGAGAUCACACCACUGCACUCCAGCCUGGUGACAGAGCGAGACUCCGUCUCAAAAAAAAAAAAAAAAAAAGAAAUUAGUGGGGCAUGGUGGUGUACGCUUAUGGUCCCAGCUACUUGGGAUGCUGAGGUGGG
rnacentral:lncRNA from 10 species